UGUCCACUACUCUGAGGCAGCAUCUCUUUCUCCACGGGAAUUUCCCUUUUUGACGAGGUCCCGGGCCCCAAUCCAGCCGCAGCUGUGGCCGGUCCCCCAGGGCCGGAUGGGUGGGCCCGGGGUGGGGCCCGGGAUGGAAAAUGGUGGUUCCAGGCAGGUCAUUUCUCAUGACCCGAGGCCAGGCCCCCCUCCAGGGCCGCUGCAGCACGAACCCGCAGGGGUCUCCCGCGGGUUCUCCCUCAACUAUUAUCCAUCCUUCAGCGCUCAGCUUGGUCCCCCGAGCUUGUGCUUGAACCUUCCUGUACAGCUCUACUUGGGGUGACUCUUUGCUGAACACACCUCCUUCAGCAUUAACUCCUGGUACCACUCACUUAGAUGCUCAAUCAGGUUGGACACGACUCGGUGACUUCACUUUCACUUUUCA